AUUGAACGCUGGCGGCAGGCCUAACACAUGCAAGUCGAGCGAGCGGCGGACGGGUGAGUAAUGCCUGGGUGUUGCCCGGGCGAGGGGGCUAACAGAUGGAGAAGACAGCUAAUACUGCAUACGGUUGGGUUGCCCAGGUGGGGGUAGCUAGUUGGUGAGGUAAUGGCUCACCAAGGCGACGAUCCCUAGCUGGUCUGAGAGGAUGAUCAGCCACACUGGAACUGAGACACGGUCCAGACUCCUACGGGAGGCAGCAGUGGGGAAUAUUGCACAAUGGGGGAAACCCUGAUGCAGCCAUGCCGCGUGUGUGAAGAAGGCCUUCGGGUUGUAAAGCACUUUCAGCGAGGAGGCGUUACUCGCAGAAGAAGCACCGGCUAACUCCGUGCCAGCAGCCGCGGUAAUAC
rnacentral:rRNA from 1 species